rnacentral:rRNA from 1 species
GAUGAACGCUGGCGGCGUGCCUAAUACAUGCAAGUCGAGCGGACGGACGCGAAGCUUGCUGCGCUGAUGUUAGCCGCGGACGUGUGUGUAACACGUGUAUAACCUCCUUAUAUGACUGGUAUCACCUCGGGAAACCGGAGAUUAUAGCGGAUAAUAUUUUGAACCGCAUGGGUCAAAGGUGAGAGACGGUCUUGCUGUAACUACUAGAUGGUUCCGCGCUGCAUUAGCUAGUUGGUCAGUUCACGGCUUACCACGGCAACGAUGCAUAGCCGAACUGAGAGAGUGAUCGGCCACACGGGAACUGAGACACGGUCCAGACUCCUACGGGAGGCAGCAGUAGGGAAUCUUACGCAAUGGGCGAAAGCCUGACGCAGCAACGCCACGUGAGUGAUGAAGGUCUUCGGAUCGUAAAACUCUGUUAUUAGGGAAGAACAGAUGUGUAAGUAACUGUGCACAUCUUGACGGUACCUAAUCAGAAAGCAACGGCUAACUACGUG